AAUUUUGGACAAUGGGGGAAACCCUGAUCCAGCCAUCCCGCGUGUGCGAUGAAGGCCUUCGGGUUGUAAAGCACUUUUGGCAGGGAAGAAACGGCGCCGGAUAAUACCUGGCGUCACUGACGGUACCUGCAGAAUAAGCACCGGCUAACUACGUGCCAGCAGCCGCGGGAAUACGUAGGGUGCAAGCGUUAAUCGGAAUUACUGGGCGUAAAGCGUGCGCAGGCGGUUUGGAAAGAAAGGUGUGAAAUCCCAGAGCUUAACUUUGGAACUGCACUUUUAACUGCCAAGCUAGAGUAUGUCAGGGGGAGGUAGAAUUCCACGUGUAGCAGUGAAAUGCGUAGAGAUGUGGAGGAAUACCGAUGGCGAAGGCAGCCCCCUGGGAUAAUACUGACGCUCAUGAACGAAAGCGUGGGGAGCAAACAGG
rnacentral:rRNA from 1 species